rnacentral:rRNA from 1 species
CUACGGGGGGCAGCAGUGGGGAAUAUUGGGCAAUGGGCGCAAGCCUGACCCAGCAACGCCGCGUGAGGGAAGAAGGUCUUCGGAUUGUAAACCUCUGUCCUUGGGGACGAAAAAAAUGACGGUACCCAAGGAGGAAGCUCCGGCUAACUACGUGCCAGCAGCCGCGGUAAUACGUAGGGAGCAAGCGUUGUCCGGAAUUACUGGGCGUAAAGGGUGCGUAGGCGGCAUGGCAAGUCAGAUGUGAAAUCCCCGGGCUUAACUCGGGUGGGUCAUUUGAAACUGCUGUGCUUGAGUGCAGGAGAGGAAAGCGGAAUUCCUAGUGUAGCGGUGAAAUGCGUAGAUAUUAGGAAGAACACCAGUGGCGAAGGCGGCUUUCUGGACUGUAACUGACGCUGAGGCACGAAAGCGUGGGGAGCAAACAGGAUUAGAUACCCGAGUAGUC